rnacentral:rRNA from 1 species
UACGUGGGGUGCGAGCGUUGUCCGGAAUUACUGGGCGUAAAGAGCUCGUAGGUGGUUUGUCGCGUUGUUCGUGAAAACUCACAGCUUAACUGUGGGCGUGCGGGCGAUACGGGCAGACUGGAGUACUGCAGGGGAGACUGGAAUUCCUGGUGUAGCGGUGGAAUGCGCAGAUAUCAGGAGGAACACCGGUGGCGAAGGCGGGACUCUGGGCCGAUACUGACGCUGAGGAGCGAAAGCGUGGGGAGCAAACAGG